rnacentral:rRNA from 1 species
AUGAACGCUGGCGGCGUGCUUAACACAUGCAAGUCGAACGAACCUUCGGGUUAGUGGCGGACGGGUGAGUAACGCGUGAGAAUCUGCCCUCAGGAGGGGGAUAACGGUUGGAAACGACCGCUAAUACCCCAUAUGCCUAUUGGUGAAAUGAAUUUCGCCUGAGGAUGAGCUCGCGUCUGAUCAGCUAGUUGGUGAGGUAAUGGCUCACCAAGGCGUCGAUCAGUAGCUGGUCUGAGAGGAUGAUCAGCCACACUGGGACUGAGACACGGCCCAGACUCCUACGGGAGGCAGCAGUGGGGAAUUUUCCGCAAUGGGCGAAAGCCUGACGGAGCAACGCCGCGUGAGGGACGAAGGCCUCUGGGCUGUAAACCUCUUUUCUCAAGGAAGAAGAUAUGACGGUACUUGAGGAAUAAGCCACGGCUAAUUCCGUGCCAGCAGCCGCGGUAAUACGGGAGUGGCAAGCGUUAUCCGGAAUUAUUGGGCGUAAAGCGUCCGCAGGCGGCUUUUCAAGUCUGCUGUUAAAACGUGGAGCUUAACUCCAUCAUGGCAGUGGAAACUGAAAGGCUUGAGUAUGGU